rnacentral:rRNA from 1 species
AUUGAACGCUGGCGGCGUGCCUAAUACAUGCAAGUCGAGCGGACGUUUUUGAAGCUUGCUUCAAAAACGUUAGCGGCGGACGGGUGAGUAACACGUGGGCAACCUACCUUAUCGACUGGGAUAACUCCGGGAAACCGGGGCUAAUACCGGAUAAUAUCUAGCACCUCCUGGUGCCGGAUUAAAAGAGGGCUUCUUGCUCUCACGAUGAGAUGGGCCCGCGGCGCAUUAGCUAGUUGGAGAGGUAACGGCUCCCCAAGGCAACGAUGCGUAGCCGACCUGAGAGGGUGAUCGGCCACACUGGGACUGAGACACGGCCCAGACUCCUACGGGAGGCAGCAGUAGGGAAUCUUCCGCAAUGGACGAAAGUCUGACGGAGCAACGCCGCGUGAGUGAUGAAGGGUUUCGGCUCGUAAAGCUCUGUUAUGAGGGAAGAACACGUACCGUUCGAAUAGGGCGGUACCUUGACGGUACCUCAUCAGAAAGCCACGGCUAGCUACGUGCCAGCCGCCGCCGUAA